AUGCAUGUCUAAGUACAGGCCUAAGCAAGGCGAAACCGCGAAUGGCUCAUUAAAUCAGUUAUGGUUCAUUGGAUCUUACCCUUUCUUACUUGGAUAACUGUGGUAAUUCUAGAGCUAAUACAUGCCAACCAGUAGCUCCGACAUACUCCCGUAUGGAAGAGCGCUUUUAUUAGAUCAAAACCAGUCCUCCCCCGGGAGGUCAAACCCCUUCGUGGUGACUCUGAAUAACUUUUAGCUGAGCGCACGGUCUCCGCGCCGGCGCCGCAUCUUUCAAGUGUCUGCCUUAUCAGCUUUCGAUUGUAGGUUAUGCGCCUACAAUGGCUAUAACGGGUAACGGGGAAUCAGGGUUCGAUUCCGGAGAGGGAGCCUGAGAAACGGCUACCACA
rnacentral:rRNA from 2 species